rnacentral:rRNA from 1 species
UACAGAGGCCUCGAGCGUUAUUCGGAAUCACUGGGCUUAAAGGGUGCGUAGGCGGAUCCGUAAGUGUUUUGUGAAAUCCCUCGGCUCAACCGAGGAAUUGCAGAGCAUACUGCGGAUCUUGAGGAAUGUAAGGGCGGGUGGAACAGUAGGUGGAGCGGUGAAAUGCGUAGAUAUCUACUGGAACGCCGAUGGUGAAGACGACCCGCUGGGCAUUUCCUGACGCUGAGGCACGAAAGCGUGGGGAGCAAACAGG